GACGAACGCUGGCGGCGUGCUUAACACAUGCAAGUCGAACGAUGAAGCCUAGCUUGCUAGGUGGAUUAGUGGCGAACGGGUGAGUAAUACGUGAGUGACCUACCUUUGACUCUGGGAUAAGCCUGGGAAACUGGGUCUAAUACCGGAUACGACCAAUCUCCGCAUGGGGUGUUGGUGGAAAGCGUUAUGGAGUGGUUUUAGAUGGGCUCACGGCCUAUCAGCUUGUUGGUGAGGUAAUGGCUUACCAAGGCGACGACGGGUAGCCGGCCUGAGAGGGUGACCGGCCACACUGGGACUGAGACACGGCCCAGACUCCUACGGGAGGCAGCAGUGGGGAAUAUUGCACAAUGGGCGCAAGCCUGAUGCAGCGACGCCGCGUGAGGGAUGACGGCCUUCGGGUUGUAAACCUCUGCUAGCAUCGAAGAAGCGAAAGUGACGGUAGGUGCAGAGAAAGCGCCGGCUAACUACGUG
rnacentral:rRNA from 1 species